CUUGGUCAUUUAGAGGAAGUAAAAGUCGUAACAAGGUUUCCGUAGGUGAACCUGCGGAAGGAUCAUUACCGAGUACGGGUCCCUAUCCCCUUCCCGGGGGGUGGGGGCCCAGACCUCCCACCCUUGUCGAUUGUACCGUGUUGCUUCGGCGGGCCCGCCAUGGUUGGCCGCCGGGGGGUUCGCGAAUGCCGCCCCCGGGCCUGUGCCCGCCGGAGACUCCCUCGAAACGCUACUGUGGUCAGGAAUGCUGUCUGAGUCUUGAGAAAUUGAUCAAAAAACUUUCAACAAUGGAUCUCUUGGUUCCGGCAUCGAUGAAGAACGCAGCGAAAUGCGAUAAGUAAUGCGAAUUGCAGAAUUCCGUGAGUCAUCGAAUCUUUGAACGCACAUUGCGCCCCCCGGCUUCCCGGGGGGCAUGCCUGUCCGAGCGUCAUUGCCAUCCCCUCAAGCUCUGCUUGGCUUGUUGGGCCAGCGUCCGCCUGCGGCUCCUGUCGCGGGGGGACGGGCCCGAAAGGCAGUGGCGGCCCCUGGAGACUUGGUCCUUUGGGCGGUGAUGCAUGGGUCUCUUCAUCCACCGUCCCGUUGGCCACGCCCCGGGAGUCUGUCGAACGAUUGGUCUUCCCCCUUUAGGUUGACCUCGGAUCAGGUAGGGAUACCCGCUGAACUUAAGCAUAUCAAUAAGCGGAGGAAAAGAAACCAACCGGGAUUGCCUCAGUAACGGCGAGUGAAGCGGCAAGAGCUCAAAUUUGAAAUCUGGCCCCUUCCCCGGGGUCCGAGUUGUAAUUUGGAGAGGAUGCUUCGGGUCCGGUCCCGGUCCAAGUGCCCUGGGAUGGGCUGUCGGAGAGGGUGAGAAUCCCGUCUGCGACCGGUGGCUGGGCCUGGGUGAAGCUCCCUCGACGAGUCGAGUUGUUUGGGAAUGCAGCUCUAAAUGGGUGGUAAAUUUCAUCUAAAGCUAAAUAUGGGCCGGAGACCGAUAGCGCACAAGUAGAGUGAUCGAAAGAUGAAAAGCACUUUGGAAAGAGAGUCAAACAGCACGUGAAAUUGUUGAAAGGGAAGCGCUUGCGGUCAGACUCGCCCGGGGAGGUUCAACCGUGCACUUGUGCCGGUGCAUUCCUGCCCGGGCGGGCCAGCGUCGGUUUGGACGGCCCGUCAAAGGCCCCCGGAAGGUAGCGCCCCGCAUGGGGCGUCUUAUAGCCGGGGGUGUCAUGCGGCCUGUCUGGACCGAGGAACGCGCCUUCGGGCUCGGACGCUGGCGUAAUGGUCGUAAGCGGCCCGUCUUGAAACACGGACC
rnacentral:rRNA from 1 species